AUUGAACGCUGGCGGCAUGCCUUACACGUGCAAGUCGAACGGUAACAGGUCUUCGGAUGCUGACGAGUGGCGAACGGGUGAGUAAUACAUCGGAACGUGCCCGAUCGUGGGGGAUAACGAAGCGAAAGCUUUGCUAAUACCGCAUACGAUCUACGGAUGAAAGCAGGGGACCGCAAGGCCUUGCGCGAACGGAGCGGCCGAUGGCAGAUUAGGUAGUUGGUGGGAUAAAAGCUUACCAAGCCGACGAUCUGUAGCCGGUCUGAGAGGACGACCAGCCACACUGGGACUGAGACACGGCCCAGACUCCUACGGGAGGCAGCAGUGGGGAAUUUUGGACAAUGGGCGAAAGCCUGAUCCAGCCAUGCCGCGUGCAGGAUGAAGGCCUUCGGGUUGUAAACUGCUUUUGUACGGAACGAAAAGACUCUGGUUAAUACCUGGGGCCCAUGACGGUACCGUAAGAAUAAGCACCGGCUAACUACGUGCCAGCAGCCGCAGUAA
rnacentral:rRNA from 1 species